CAACGCCGGAAAUCUUACCGGGACCGACAGCAUAUGAAGGCCAGGCUGAAGACUUUGCCGGAUUAGCUGAGAGGUGGUGCAUGGCCGUCGUCAGUUCGUACUGUGAAGCAUCCUGUUAAGUCAGGCAACGAGCGAGACCCACGCCCACAGUUGCCAGCGUACUCUCCGGAGUGACGGGUACACUGUGGGGACCGCCGCUGCUAAAGCGGAGGAAGGAAUGGGCAACGGUAGGUCAGUAUGCCCCGAAUAUCCCGGGCUACACGCGAGCUACAAUGGUUGGUACAAUGGGUAUCUACCCCGAAAGGGGAUGGAAAUCUCCUAAAGCCAAUCUUAGUCCGGAUUGAGGGCUGCAACUCGCCCUCAUGAAGCUGGAAUCCGUAGUAAUCGCGUUUCAACAGAACGCGGUGAAUACGUCCCUGCUCCUU
rnacentral:rRNA from 1 species